CUUCUACGCCACCUCCGUAACAUUAGGCUUCGCCCCCUCCCAUUCAAAACAACACGUGCAGUAACGGGCACCAGCCCGGGGCGCAUGCGCAGUUCCUUCCACUCACUCAGAGCAGUUGAAGGCCGAUGGCGCUCCUCAACCGUAAGGAAGACGGCAAGGUCUCUUUGGUCAGCUCUUACUGUUCAAGUCCUCAGUGAUUGCCAGCACAAGAAACUCCCUCAGUUGCCACAGCACUGACGUCAGUUGCUGCUAGAUGGAGCCGUCACUCAAAGCAGGCAACUGGCUUUCCCCUUUUUUGAUCCUCUGGACUAACGUAUCUACAGAAGUGCACUCCCACAUUAAUCACAAGGUGACAAGACAGAAAUUGAUGCUCUCAGAUUGAUGUUUACACAGUCAAACAAUCAACUCUUACAAAGGUUGCAACCUCUUUACCCAGCAAAUUACCUUCAAUUCAAAAGAGGAAAAACUACACUUAAGCAGCUCAAAAUGUUAAAAUGAUUCUAGAACAGAAGUUACCAGCGAUUUGUUGAUAAAAUAUAUUUUUGCGCAUCUACAUUUUCUGGUGAAAACUACAAAGGACAGGCUAUGAAACUAUGUUAUAGUGGAAGAUAACUAAGGAAAGCUCUGUGCCUUGAUAACCAAAAUAAAAUUGGAAAUAUGCCUAUUUCCCUCAGUGAAGGGUUUUCUUAACCUAAGAUAUGGGAGCACCUUCUUGAUAUGGGUAGUGGUUCAGAUCAACUAGGGAUAAACAUUUAAUGGCAGCUUUGGUGGCAAUGA